UCAUGACCUGAGCCAAAACCAAGAGUCAGAUGCUUAACCGACUGAGUCACCCAGGCACCCCUAAUAAUAUGGUAAAUCUUAGGAAGCCUUUUUGGUAUACUUCCCAGAAAUGCGAAAAAUGAAUGACCUUAUUGAUUAGGUAACAAAUCAUAUUGCAAAAAAAACCGCCUCUUUUCAAAAAAUUUUUAAUGUUUUAUUUAUUUUUGAGAGAGAGAGAGAGAGAGAGAGACAGAGUGCAAGCAGGGGAGGGACAGAGAGAGAGGAAGACACAGAAUCUGAAGCAGGCUCCAGGCUCUGAGCUGUCAUCACAGAGCCCGAUGCGGGGCUCAUACACGUGAACCGUGAGAUCAUGACCUGAGCCGAAGUUAGACACUUAACUGACUGAGCCACCCAGGUGACCCUCAAAAUUAAAUUCUAAUAAUUUUGUUUUAGAGUAUAAUCACUACAAAGUGUUUUGUGCAUAACACUACUUCCCAGAAUUCUUUCUAUGGACCAAAAGGAGGUUCUGUGAUCAAAUAAGUUUGGGAAGGCGUGCUGGGUGGCUCAGUCAGUUAAGCGUCCAACUCUUGGCUUCAGCUCAGGUCAUCAUCUCACAGUUCACGAGAUCGAGUCCCACACUGGGCUCUUGUCAAUGCCGACAGCAUGGAGCCUGCUUAGGAUUCUUUCUGUCUCUCUCUGCCCCUCUACUGCUCUCUCUCUCUCAAAAUAAAUGAAUUAAACAUUAAAAAAAAUAAGUUUGGGAAAAUGAAAAGCUGAAAAUACCAAAUAUGUUCAUUGCAGGGCUCUUUAGAACACCCACAUUAGUGGGGCACCUGGGUGGCUCAGUUGGUUAAGCACCUGACUUCGGCUCAGGUCAUGGUUUCACAGUUCAUGGGUUUGAGCCCUUCAUCAGGCUCUGUGCUGAGAGCUCAGAGCCUGGAGCCUGUUUCGGAUUCUGUGUCUCCCUCUCUCUCCACCUCUCCGCCACUAGCACUCUGUCUCUCUCUGUCUCAAAAAUAAAUAAAUAUCAAAACAAAACCGCGAGUGUUUAGAACACCUGCAUUAGUCAGCUUUUGCUGCUUACCAGCCACAAAAGCGCAGUGGCACACAGCAGCAUUAAUUUCUUGUGUAAAAGUUUGUAGGCCUGAUAGGGCAGUUCUGCCCAAGGUCAGGUGUUGAGUUCAGGUUCAUUCCACUUGUCUCUGAAGCAGGCUAGAGAGAUUAUCUGGGGCACAUUCUUCUCAUGCAAGAGGUCAAAAGAUCCCAGAGGAGCAAGUAGAAACAUACAAAACCUCUUAAAGUUUGCACUAGGAACUGCCACCCAGUCACUUCCAUGCAUGUUCUAUUGGCCAAAGCAAGUUGCAUGGUCAAACCUAACAUCAGUGGGUCAGGGAACCAUACUUCCCCCAUGAAUGUGGGAGGAGUAAAUAUUUGCUGUGCAAUAAAUUACCCUAGCCUUUAAUAUGAUAAUGUGGAUGGAGAAUCUUCAAUAGGGAAAAUCUAGUUUGCAGAAUAUUCUAAACUCCUUGGACCAGAGGACCCAGGAGCAUUUCAUGGACUAAUGAAGGACUAAAAAACCUAGCACUAAUGUUUUUUGAAAUGCACUUUAAGAAAUGCUGGUAUAAACCAUGUAUGACAAUCAGAGUCCAGUCAGCAAGGCCCAAAUCAUACUAGAUAUUUCCAGCAGAGGGGAUUUCAUACAGAGGAUUGAUCACACAGGUGUCAGCAGGCUAAAAGAACAAAAAGGGGACCCUGCAGUAACCCCAAUUAUCAGUCACUGUGUGGGGCAGUUCCCACUCGUAGAUUGAUCGAGAAAUAGCACAAAUUACCAAUGCCAUGAUUUGCAUACAGAUCUCACAGGCACCGAAAGUAUACUAAGGUAAUAUUAGGAACAACUUUAUGCCAAUGAAUUUGACAGCUUAGUUAAAAAGGGGAAAUUCCUUUGACAAACUUAUCUUACCAAAUUGACACAAUGAAAUAGAAAAUCUGAAGAAAAGAUACAUCAAACUCUCUAUAUAUAAACUUCUGUUCUUCAAAGACUCCUUUAAGAAAAUAAAAGGUAAUCCAGACAAAAAAAGAUUUACAUCUGACAAAGGACUUAUAUCCAGAAUAUACAAAGAGCUCCUACAAGUCAACAUUGAAAGAUGAACAACCCUGUUAAAAAUGGGUGAUGGGGGCACUUGGAUGGUUCAGUCGGCUGAGCAUCCAACUCUUGAUUUCAGCUCAGGUCAUGAUCUCACGGUUUGUGGGUUCAAGCCCCACGUCGGGCUCUGCACUGGCAGUGUAGAGCCUGCUUGGGAUUCUCUCUUUCUCUCUCUGCCCUUCCCCUGCUCACACGUUCUCUCUCUCUCUCUCUCUCUCUCAAAAAUAAACAUUAAAAAUACAUACAUAUUUUUUAAAUGGGCAAGGGACUUGAACAGACACUUCACAAAGGCAGAUACAUGGAUGCGAAAUGAGCACACGAAAAGGUGUUCAACAUCAUUAGAUGUCAGGAAAUGCCAAAUAAAACCACAACGAAAUACCAGGAGAUAGUUAUCCAAGAGAAAUGAAAACGUGUCCAAAAAGGAGCACACUCAUGACAGUUUUAUUCACAAGAGCCAUAUGAGGUAACUGCAAUGUGUCCAUUUCACAGUGACUGAAAUGUCUGUGGCAUAUAUUCACAAGAUGGAAAACCACUUCAUAAUAAAAAGGUUCCAAGUUCCAAGUAGGCACUUUUUUGUUCGGCCCCAAAGCCCCCCAAACACCAGACUCUGAGACCCUGGCUUCACUCCUCCCACAUUCCCUCUUGGCUGCACCCCAGGAGUUUGUUUUGUGGCUUCUUUGAAUUGGCCAGCCACUGAAUCCCCAUUUCUUUGUGAAGCUCGCCCUUUGAUGAGGUGAGCUCUACACCAGCACCAGGCCCGUCUCUCCAACAGCUGCGGAGUUACCCCGGCCCAAAACAUCAUCGCCAAAACUCUAUGGAUUGCGUGCUUCCCAGGGGGCGAGGCGCUAUGCCAAAUGCCCUACGUAAUUAUUGCAUGUGAUUCUCACGGCACUGAGGUAGGUAUCUGCGUCCCUCUUUCCAGAUACGGUGACUCAUGCUUGGAGAGGCCAUUCCGUGUGCCCGAGGUGACACAGCCCGCACAUAUAGUGGGAAAGAGAGAAAUUCGGCUCUGACGUCAGAACUCAUCAUUUCCACCACUAUGCCAGACUGUCUCAUAGCAGAAAGGUGACCACAGGCCAUCCCCACUCUCACCACCCACGGAAAGAAAGCUCUAAUGCAAAGCGACCAAGACAUCCUGAGGCCACAGACUCUUCCGUGCGCCGCACUCCCUCAGGCACACUGUGGCUGACCCGAAGACCACGGGAGGUGCAGCCCAGCUUUCCACCCUCUGCUGUCUUCACCUUGAGCACUAGGGUGUCGGGCAAGGUCCUGUGGCUGAGCAUUAACACACGUCCCCUGUCCUCCUCCCCUUGGGGCCGCGCCAAAGCCCACGUUCCCUUCACGUGAUUCCAUGGUUGCCCUUCAACCUGGAUGGCCACGCAGAGAGGGCCAUUGCUGUCUGCUCGAGGGCCCCUGCCAGGGGGGCUCUCCAGGGGAGGACAGGCCUCUUCUAAACGUGAAAACUCUGUAAGCAGCCGUUUAAGGCAGGAAGAAGGCUGCUCGGUCAGCUGGGGCUAACAGGGACCAAGAUGACCACUUGUGCUUAACUUUCAAAAAGGCAUUGUGAUGUUUUGUACUGGCUUUCAACUUUUCCUGAGUACACUGCAGGUCUUUAAUUCCUCAGAAGACAGGGACCUGAUCUUAGACCUCCGCUCUGACCCUCUUGGGCCCUACACUAUGCUGCAUAGAAACUACCCUAUCCCUUGGACCCCUCGCGAGGGCUGCAUCUUUGUGCCUGAGGGUGAUCCCCGUGCCCCCAACGGAAGUAGGCCUCAAGGCCCACACGUUUGGCAGGCUGGAAAUGACAGGAAAUUAACACCACCACCACCACCCCCCCAGCACCACAGCUCAGCCAAUGCCUGUGGGCAGUAUAACAGCCCAGCUCCCUCACUCUCGGGCUGGAUAAGCUCCCGUUACCCAGUAUGGAAACUGGUUUAACAGUGUCCCUGGACUGAUGGUCUUUCCCUCCUGUGCCUUCUCUACUGACCUUUCCUUUACCCCCCAAAUAAUCUAGUUGCAUUUGGGUCUUUGUCUCGGGGUCUGCUUCUGGAAAACCCAAACUAACCCAACACAUGGCCCUCGCUCAAUAAAUACUCGUGCGAGGGAAGGAUAUUAAUUUAGGACGAGUAGCAUAGUAAGGUCUUUUUAAUCCUCCAGAACUUUGCUUAAAAUCCCAUUUUAAGGGAUUAGAGGACAAUAUAUAUAUAUUUUUUAAGCGAGGUAAACUUGGUAUAUAACAUUACGGCGUUCCAGGUGUACAUUAUAAUUCAGUAUUUGCCCACACUACAAAGUGAUCACCACCACAAGUGUGCUUACCAUCCAUCACUGAGCAGUUGGGCCCCUUGACCCAUUUCCCCCGUGCCCCCACCCCUUCCCCUCUGGCAACCAGCAAUUUGCUCUCUGGGAGGACCAUAUUUAGAAGAGAAGCAAUAUUCCUUUUGAGACUUCUCAUAAUUAUCUCCCAGGGUUGGAGUUCUGGAACUCAGUUAUUUUGACAACCACAUCAGGGCAGGGAGUGUGUGUAAUUUAAAAAAAAAAAAAAAAAAAAAGGCUCCAGGAUAUUUGAGGCACUUUUCUCGGGCCCAGAGAAGCAUGCUGUGUUUUACCCGUUAAAUUAGCUUAAGAUUUAGAACUGAGAUCAUCUACACACUUUCUCUUUCUGAGGGGAAGAUGACAGACAUCUGCGACGAGAAAUUAAGUAAGAUAGAGAUGCCAACUUGUCUGAGAAAGAAACAAAAAAUCCUGAAGCAGCUCUGUCCAUUACACUGCGGAGGUUAAGGGACUGCGGUUCCCCCGGGCGAUUCGGACGCCCUGGUGGAAGGAGAGAGGCCGACCCGCCCGACACACCAGACAUCCGCUUCCUUCCGAUGGAGGCCACAGUUUUCCCUCUCCACUUCCCAUCUUCCACCUUAUAUGAGGCUCACUGCAUGACUUCCUGCUAUGUUUAGCCACCAGGGCAGACAAAAUACAGCACAGAAAAGGGUGGGAAGGCCCAGGGAUCUGCGUUGGCUGAAAGACUCAUCCUCCCAUCUCCUGUUUUUAGCAUUUUAAAAACCCAUCUUCAGAUCUGGACCUAGACCAGACCACCAGCACUGCACGUCUCCACAUCGAGUCCCCCAGCUCCGUGGAGUAACACCUGGGCUCCCGUCUUUGUCCUAACCAGUUCCUGGAUGCCUGAGAGGACAGACACACCAGACCACCGUCCUCAGCAAAACCCCCCAGACCCGACACAGAAAGGCAAGACUCCGUCCUUUCCUUUCUGAGUGUCCCACUCCAUACCUGCCCUCUCUCUGUGCAAUGAACGCUGCCUUCACCUUCUGCUGGCUCGCAUUUGAUUUCCAUCCUGUGCUCGGCCAGGGCCCUCUGGGCUGGUCCUGCGGGACCCCCACUGGGUCCCCAGAGCUGGCCUGCCAACAUCACAUGUAUAGUGUCGUGUUUUGUUUUGUUCUGCUUUGCUUUAAACUUCACGAAAGAGGUCUUCAGCUGCUUCCAUUUUGGCUUCAAACUUUGUAGUUUAUCGUCUUGCCAUCUUGUCUCUUGGCUUAGGCGGAGGACCCUGCAGGCAAACCAUCCCCUGAUGGGAACCGAAACUACCCCCUCAGGCAAGGACUGCCCUGAGCCAGCAAGGCCCUGCCGGUGGUUCACUCUAAGACUGUGAAUAUUUGACCUUGACUGCCUACCUGCUCCUACCCACCCACUUUGCCCUACCUUUUCCUGAUGGAAACCUGGAAGUAUUUCUGGCACUUUGGCGACAGUAUUUGAGACCC